rnacentral:lncRNA from 1 species
CGCCACCCCUGCCCCGGGCAGCCCCGGCUGCUCCUUCAUCACAGAGCCCAGACUCGCCUCGUCAGACUUGGCUACCUCUGUGAGCUUGCAGGAAUAAAUCUGAGACUGACAGCAGCAAUCACAGUCACAUUCCACAGCCUCUCCAGCACCCAGCCAGCUCUCCGCGGGGGCAGCAGGGACUGGUCCACCCAACAACAGCAGCCAUGUCCUCACCUCUUGCUACAGCAGCAACUUUAUUUGAUUUGAUGUAUAUGAAGAAAUAAAACUCAGAAGUCAAUUGACUUAAACAUGGAACAAUGCAGCUUGG